rnacentral:rRNA from 1 species
GCAGGGAAUCUUGCGCAAUGGGCGAAAGCCUGACGCAGCCAUGCCGCGUGAAUGAUGAAGGUCUUAGGAUUGUUAAAUUCUUUCACCGGGGACGAUAAUGACGGUACCCGGAGAAGAAGCCCCGGCUAACUUCGUGCCAGCAGCCGCGCUAAUACGAAGGGGGCUCGCGUUGCUCGGAAUUACUGGGCGUACAGGGAGCGUAGGCGGAUAGUUUAGUCAGAGGUGAAAGCCCAGGGCUCAACCUUGGAAUUGCCUUUGAUACUGGCUAUCUUGAGGAUGGAAUAUGUAUGUGGAACUCCGAGUGUAGAGGUGAAAUUCGAAGAUAUUCGGAAGAACACCAUUGACGAAGGCGACAUACUGGUCCAUUACUGACGCUGAGACUCGAAAGCGUGGGGAGCAAACAGUAUUAGAUACCCUAGUAGUCC